UAUCACUGCCUUGGCAGCACACUAAAAUUGAAACAUCACAGAGAAGAUUAGCAUGGCCCCCGUGCAAGGAUAACAUUCAAGGAUGAUAUUCGUGGCGUUACAUGUAUUU